rnacentral:rRNA from 1 species
AGAGUUUGAUCCUGGCUCAGGACGAACGCUGGCGGCGUGCUUAACACAUGCAAGUCGAACGGAAAGGCCCUGCUUUUGUGGGGUGCUCGAGUGGCGAACGGGUGAGUAACACGUGAGUAACCUGCCCUUGACUUUGGGAUAACUUCAGGAAACUGGGGCUAAUACCGGAUAGGAGCUCCUGCUGCAUGGUGGGGGUUGGAAAGUUUCGGCGGUUGGGGAUGGACUCGCGGCUUAUCAGCUUGUUGGUGGGGUAGUGGCUUACCAAGGCUUUGACGGGUAGCCGGCCUGAGAGGGUGACCGGCCACAUUGGGACUGAGAUACGGCCCAGACUCCUACGGGAGGCAGCAGUGGGGAAUAUUGCACAAUGGGCGGAAGCCUGAUGCAGCAACGCCGCGUGCGGGAUGACGGCCUUCGGGUUGUAAACCUCUGUUAGCAGGGAAGAAGAGAGAUUGACGGUACCUGCAGAGAAAGCGCCGGCUAACUACGUGCCAGCAGCCGCGGUAAUACGUAGGGCGCGAGCGUUGUCCGGAAUUAUUGGGCGUAAAGAGCUUGUAGGCGGUUUGUCGCGUCUGCUGUGAAAGGCCGGGGCUUAACUCCGUGUAUUGCAGUGGGUACGGGCAGACUAGAGUGCAGUAGGGGAGACUGGAAUUCCUGGUGUAGCGGUGGAAUGCGCAGAUAUCAGGAGGAACACCAGUGGCGAAGGCGGUUCUCUGGGCCUUUCCUGACGCUGAGGAGCGAAAGCGUGGGGAGCGAACAGGCUUAGAUACCCUGGUAGUCCACGCUGUAAACGGUGGGUACUAGGUGUGGGGUCCAUUCCACGGGUUCCGUGCCGUAGCUAACGCUUUAAGUACCCCGCCUGGGGAGUACGGCCGCAAGGCUAAAACUCAAAGGAAUUGACGGGGCCCCGCACAAGCGGCGGAGCAUGCGGAUUAAUUCGAUGCAACGCGUAGAACCUUACCUGGGUUUGACAUGGAUCGGGAGUGCUCAGAGAUGGGUGUGCCUCUUUUGGGGUCGGUUCACAGGUGGUGCAUGGCUGUCGUCAGCUCGUGCCGUAAGGUGUUGGGUUAAGUCCCGCAACGAGCGCAACCCUUGUUCACUGUUGCCAGCACGUUAUGGUGGGGACUCAGUGGAGACCGCCGGGGUCAACUCGGAGGAAGGUGGGGAUGACGUCAAAUCAUCAUGCCCCUUAUGUCUUGGGCUUCACGCAUGCUACAAUGGCUGGUACAGAGAGUGGCGAGCCUGUGAGGGUGAGCGAAUCUCGGAAAGCCGGUCUCAGUUCGGAUUGGGGUCUGCAACUCGACCCCAUGAAGUCGGAGUCGCUAGUAAUCGCAGAUCAGCAACGCUGCGGUGAAUACGUUCCCGGGCCUUGUACACACCGCCCGUCAAGUCACGAAAGUUGGUAACACCCAAAGCCGGUGGCCUAACCCUUUUGGAGGGAGCCGUCUAAGGUGGGAUUGGCGAUUGGGACUAAGUCGUAACAAGGUAGCCGUACCGGAAGGUGCGGCUG